CUUCCUAGCCCUCUGAACUUGGGGGCGGGCUUAUCUGAUGUGAGUGACAGGGGCAUGGGCCACUCCUAGCCUGGGUAGACCAAUCUUGAUGGGGGUGGGGGCGAUCUGUUCCCCAGGCAACAGGCUGUCCGGGGUUAGACCUAAUAACCUUGACCUCUUCCUUUGUUGCCUUAGCAUUGAAGUCUCCAGGCCAUUAGACUAAACCAGGGAAUCAUAAUAAUCGUAAUAAUUGACAACUGUAUGGUUUCCAACAGUGUUUUUGUGUUUUUGUUUUUUUUUUUGAAACAACUGUAAGUUACCUGUUAGGAGUCCUGCAAACAAUGUAGUGAAUUGAACCAGCAUUUAAAAAAAACAAUAGAAUAGAAAAUACCAAGUGACUCUAGAGUACUUAAUGGUUACAAGGCUCUGAGAUGAUCUGCGCUUGGAAAGGGAAUGGAAGAAACAUGGAAGACAGGACUAAGAGGUGAGAUUCCACUCUUGUAAGUGAAGUGACAUGCACAAUUUCCCCCUUCUACUCUUCAGGUGGUGUGGCCAGUGUAGAGUGAAGGAGUCCAGUGCUCUGAUGCUGGUGUAAGGUUGGCAAGGUUGUGCUGGGUCCCACAGUGGCUGUGGACUACAGUAAAGUUUGUAACCUUCAGACUAAAUGGGAUAGGAAAGAAUUUUAAGCAGUUGGAGAGGUAGGAUUUGGAUGCAGUGUAGAGUCAAGUGCACCUGGGGCAAGAGAGGGUGCAAGACAGGAGGAACCUUUUGCAGGACAGGAGAGUGGGCUGGAGGUGCCUGGUGACGUUGGAGAGGGGCUGCUGGAAUGGAGAUGGGAAAUACUCAGGAGAUAAACUGUAUAGAACUUGACAUUAGGAUCAGCAAUAGGACAAGAUGAACCCUAUCUUACAUUUUCCAGAGACUGCAAAUCUGCAGGAACAGCUAGCAGUGCUGGUCACUACUGGUUUUCCUUUAUUCAAGCACAUUGUCUCCGUAUGGGAAGAUUUUAAAGGUUGGUGAGGUCAAUGGACUAGGUUAUGAACUUUGAACGUGGGUCAGAGCAGAGUGUAAGUACAUGCUGGAUCUGUUUUUAAUCCUAAAGACUUCUGGCCACUUAAACAUCUUCACAAGACAGUUUUAAUGUUACAUAAAAGACUUGUCCAGUUCCAUAGAAGUGCAAUUGUUUGAAAUUCCGGGAAUCCCACAGAACCAUUCAGGGGUAUUAGGAACCUCAGGAGUGCAUUUCAUCCACUCCUCUAUUUUUGCAGAUAAGGAAAUCUCAACUUGCCCAAGGUCACGUAAACCUCAUAUUUAAGAGUUUGGGUUUGUUCAAGAGAGCUCCUAUUCCAGGCAGACCCCUUUCUAUUUAACUUGAGCCUUGGUUUCCUCUUAUGUAAAAUGGGGCAUUAACUCCUUUGCCAAGGAUUAAGGUUAAUUCACAUGAGGGGCACUUGGGUGGCUCAGUCAAGUGUCUCACUGCAGCUCAGGUCAUGAUCUCCUGGUUUAUGGGUUUAAACCCCACAUGGGGCUUUCUGUCAGUGCAUAGCCCACUUCAGAUCCUAUAUUCCCCCCCACCCCCUCCCCUGCUCGUGCAAGCACACGUGUGCUUGCUCUCAAAAACAUUAAAAGAAAAAAAGGUUAAUUCACACGAGGUUCCUGGUUUAAUGCUAGGCUUAUGUUCCUAGGUGCUUAGUGAGUUAGCUACUGUUGUUGGCUAUAGGGGCAUGACAGAUCUUGAAAUGUCAAAAAGACCCAGAGGCACAGGACUGUGUGAACUCAGCAAGAGCACUCAGGAGACUAAAACAAAUAUUAGUUCUGGCUCUGCCACCAACCAUGAUGUAGGACUUGGGUGAAAUCUUCACACAGAAAUGAAUCUUCCAUAGAAAAGCAUGGAGAAAUUUCUUCUGGGAGAAACUGUAUAGGCAUGUAGGUAGGCAGACUACCUCCACCACUGUGCAGGCCAGCAUACAUUGGAGAGAAGAGGGUAAGGCUAUAAACAGAGGUUCUAGCCUACAAGCAAGAUCAUCUGGAGAAGACAGAUUUGUGCCCCCUGGCUUCUCCGAGGGCCCCAUAAUGCUAUAGGAGCCAAAGGUCAACACAUAGUUAGAAGCAUAAGCAUAAGCUUUUUUCUAUUAAGGUCAAGGAGGAAGCUGGAAAGCGGGCCUGAGCGCAUGUUCCCUGGCUUUACUGUUCUUCACCUUAAUCGUGUAAAAGGUGUCUAACUGGAGGGAUGGCUAACAGGAAUUUUACCUUGAUGAGAAACCAAGAAAGCUGUGCUUUCUGCUAGAUCACUUACGCAGAAGUAGACAAAUCUAACCAAAACACACACAACUGGUCCCAGUAUUUUACAUGUUUAUAUUUUCCUAAGUGUUAGGGAACAAAAGCAGAGCUAUGAAAACCCACCAGGCUGUGGGGGUGGGGGGUGGAGUGGGGAGUGGGGUGGCGGUGGUGGCAGUGGUCUGGGCAGCACCCAAGAGGCCCCGUAUGCGGGCACCACUCCAUGCUCAAAGAAUGCUCCUCCAUCGUUGUUGCACUUGCACAGCCACCAUGCCCACCCUCUGAGGCCAAACAGAAAAAGGUUGCCUGACACUCAGGUUUCGUUUCCACUUUAUUGCUCAAGCACAGAACUUGAGGCAAGCCUGGACCUUCAGCAACGUGCAGAGAAAAGGCUGAGGGGGUUGGGGACACAACCUGGCUGAGAAGGGAAACAGAUCCAAAGGGAAAUAUUGGGGGGGGGGGCAGCAGAGGCGGUCAUCAGGACACCAGAAGACAUCUCAGCCAUACCAUCUGGGGUGAGGACGGGAACAGAGAGCAGUAGCGGGCACAGCAGUGGUUUUCCCCAUGCCCCUAG